UACGUAGGGGGCUAGCGUUGUCCGGAAUCAUUGGGCGUAAAGCGCGCGUAGGCGGCCCGAUAAGUCCGCUGUAAAAGUCAAAGGCUCAACCUUUGAAUGUCAGUGGAUACUGCCGGGCUAGAGUCCGGAAGAGGCGAGUGGAACUCCUGGUGUAGCGGUGGAAUGCGCAGAUAUCAGGAAGAACACCGACGGCGAAGGCAGCUCGCUGGGACGGUACUGACGCUGAGGCGCGAAAGCGUGGGGAGCAAACAGG
rnacentral:rRNA from 1 species